GAUGAACGCUGGCGGCGUGCUUUAUGCAUGCAAGUCGAACGAUUCCGAUUCGUUGGGAUAGUGGCGAACGGGUGAGUAACACGUAAGUAACCUGCCUUUAAGUGGGGAAUAACCCCGGGAAACCGGAGUUAAUACCGCAUGUGGUGGCAGGGCAAGUGCUCUGUCUCUAAAGCCUUCGGGCGCUUGAAGAGGGACUUGCGUCCGAUUAGCUAGUUGGUAGGGUAAUGGCCUACCAAGGCAGUGAUCGGUAGCUGGUUUGAGAGGACGGUCAGCCACACUGGGACUGAGACACGGCCCAGACUCCUACGGGAGGCAGCAGCAAGGAAUUUUGUGCAAUGGGCGAAAGCCUGACACAGCGACGCCGCAUGGGGGAUGAAGGCCUUCGGGUUGUAAACCCCUUUUCUCAGGGACGAAUAAUGACGGUACCUGAGGAAUAAGCCUCGGCUAACUACGUG
rnacentral:rRNA from 1 species